GACGAACGCUGGCGGCGUGCUUAACACAUGCAAGUCGAACGGAAAGGCCCUGCUUUUGUGUGGUUCUCGAGUGGCGAACGGGUGAGUAACACGUGAGUAACCUGCCCUUGACUUUGGGGUAACUUCAGGAAACUGGGGCUAAUACCGGAUAGGAGCUCCUGCUGCAUGGUGGGGGUUGGAAAGUUUCGGCGGUUGGGGAUGGACUCGCGGCUUAUCAGCUUGUUGGUGGGGUAGUGGCUUACCAAGGCUUUGACGGGUAGCCGGCCUGAGAGGGUGACCGGCCACAUUGGGACUGAGAUACGGCCCAGACUCCUACGGGAGGCAGCAGUGGGGAAUAUUGCACAAUGGGCGGAAGCCUGAUGCAGCAACGCCGCGUGCGGGAUGACGGCCUUCGGGUUGUAAACCGCUUUCGCCUGUGACGAAGCGUGAGUGACGGUAAUGGGUAAAGAAGCACCGGCUAACUACGUG
rnacentral:rRNA from 1 species